ACACCAAGCUCUGUAGUGCGGUCAACACGCUGGAGGGAAAGGAUGCCAUCCAGAGGGACCUUGACAGGCUUGAGAGGUGGGCCCAUACAAACCUCAUGAAGUCCAACAAGGCCAAGGGCAAGGUCCUGCACAUGGGUCCGGGAAAUCCCAAGCACGAAUACAGGCUGGGUGAGGAGUGGUUUGAGAACAGCCCUGAGGAGAAGGAAUUGGGGGUACUGGUGGAUUAAA